CCUACGGGUGGCAGCAGUGGGGAAUAUUGAGCAAUGCGCGAAAGCCUGACCCAGCAACGCCGCGUGAAGGAAGAAGGCUUUCGGGUUGUAAACUUCUUUUGACAGGGAAGAGCAGAAGACGGUACCUGUCGAAUAAGCCACGGCUAACUAAGUGCCAGCAGCCGCGGUAAUACGUAGGUGGCAAGCGUUGUCCGGAGUUACUGGGUGUAAAGGGCGUGCAGCCGGGAAGACAAGUCAGAUGUGAAAUCCCGCGGCUCAACCGCGGAACUGCAGUUGAAACUGUUUUUCUUGAGUAUCGGAGAGGUAAUCGGAAUUCCUAGUGUAGCGGUGAAAUGCGUAGAUAUUAGGAAGAACACCAGUGGCGAAGGCGGAUUACUGGACGACAACUGACGGUGAGGCGCGAAAGCGUGGGGAGCAAACAGGAUUAGAUACCCCGGUAGUC
rnacentral:rRNA from 1 species